GAUGAAGAACGUAGCGAAAUGCGAUAAGUAAUGUGAAUUGCAGAAUUCAGUGAAUCAUCGAAUCUUUGAACGCACAUUGCGCCCGCUAGUAUUCUGGCGGGCAUGCCUGUUCGAGCGUCAUUUCAACCAUCAAGCCCCAGGCUUGUGUUGGGGUCCUGCGGCUUCCGCAGCCCCCUAAAAGCAGUGGCGGGCUCGCUAGUCACACCGAGCGCAGUAGCACAUCUCGCUCAGGGCGUGCGGCGGGCUCCUGCCGUGAAACCCCCCACUGUAACCCCAAAGGUUGACCUCGGAUCAGGUAGGAAUACCCGCUGAACUUAAGCAUAUCAAUAAGCGGAGGA
rnacentral:misc_RNA from 1 species